ACUAGUGACAGAGUGAGGGAGGGAGUGGGUGACUAGUGACAGAGUGAGGAAGGGGGUGACACAGUGACAGAGUGAAGGAGGUGGUGACUGUCACUAGUCACCCCAUCCCUCCCUCUGUCACUAGUCACUCCCUCCCUCCCUCCCUCUGUCACUAGUC